UGUUGGUGACAGUUGUGACAAGUGACGGGCGGAGUGGCGCUACCUUGCGUUGAAUUUAACUUGAAUUAGUACUGACGGGACGGCUAUCAAUCAAUCAGGGUAACAUAUUACACGAUCUCAUCUACCCUUAUGGAAAGUGCUUUAUAAGUCACACUCACGUCGUGUUUGAAAGGAAAUUGGGAAACGCGUCAGGAGAAUGCGGAAGAAAAAGUAUACGAAAUAUAACAAGGGAUUUCUGAAUAAAAGCUUUUUACAGAACGGAUUGUUCAUCUCAUUGCGCAUUCUGCAGCGGGAGGGACGGGUCGAGAGGAUUAGCAAAGGGCGCCUGUGCAUAAUGAAUACAUAAUUAAUUAAUUAUGCCAUCACUUUGUCUUGGGAAAAUCCAGCAAAUAUAAUUGUGCCUGUUGCUUUGAGUAAUCUCGGUACUCGCAACAGCCGGUGAACAUAAUUAAAGAAGCGACUGCCUGUCUGACCUUCCAACCCGCGAAGGGAAAGCCCAACACAGACAAAUUCUACGGAGCUUAAUUACAAUUGUCGUAGGUAUAUAUUAGUGAGAAGUUCCUAGAGGGCGGUCAGAUGACGGCAACAGUGAUGGAUGACAUGGCUCAGCUGACUCACUCGCAAGUCAUUACACGACUGUCUCCAAUGAGCGUCUUUUACUUAGCUUAAGUACCUGUUUAGGACUGUUCUUGAGUAGACUGUUGAAUAAAUGAUAGUAUAAAAGGAA